rnacentral:piRNA from 1 species
UGUUAAGAGAACACUACAGACUGAGCUGUC